GACGAACGCUGGCGGCGUGCUUAACACAUGCAAGUCGAACGGAAAGGCCCUGCUUUUGUGGGGUGCUCGAGUGGCGAACGGGUGAGUAACACGUGAGUAACCUGCCCUUGACUUUGGGAUAACUUCAGGAAACUGGGGCUAAUACCGGAUAGGAGCUCCUGCUGCAUGGUGGGGGUUGGAAAGUUUCGGCGGUUGGGGAUGGACUCGCGGCUUAUCAGCUUGUUGGUGGGGUAGUGGCUUACCAAGGGUUUGAUUGGUAGCCGGCCUGAGAGGGUGACCGGCCACAUUGGGACUGAGAUACGGCCCAGUGUCCAACGGGAGGCAGCAGUGGGGAAUAUUGCACAAUGGGCGGAAGCCUGAUGCAGCAACGCCGCGUGCGGGAUGCCGGCCUUCGGGUUGUAAACCGCUUUCGCCUGUGACGAAGCGUGAGUGACGGUAAUGGGUAAAGAAGCACCGGCUAACUACGUG
rnacentral:rRNA from 1 species